rnacentral:rRNA from 1 species
UGAGAAUGCCGGAAUGAGUAGCGAGAAUUAUGUGAGAAUCAUAAUGGCCGAAAGCCUAAGGUUUUUGGAGGAAGGUUCGUCCGCUCCAAGUAAGUCGGAAGCUAAGGUGAGGCUGAAAAGCGUAGCCGAUGCACAAACGGUUGAAAUUCCGUUACCACAGAAAGAUUUAAACUAAGGGACACUUUUGAAGAGCUGAUGCCGGGUGUUGGUUACCCCGGUCGUAAGGGAACGAAAUUAAGUAGUGAAGUCAGCGUGGAUGAAGGCGAGAAAAGCUUAGUGUAUAUCUUAUGUGUCCGUACCGCAAACCGACACAGGUAGGUAGGAAGAGAAUUCUAAGGCCAACGGGAGAAGGGUAGUUAAGGAACUCGGCAAAAUGUCCCCGUAACUUCGGAAUAAGGGGAGGUUUCUACGGAAACCCGCAGAGAAUAGUCCCAGGCAACUGUUUAUCAAAAACACAGCUCUAUGCUAAAUCGAAAGAUGACGUAUAUGGGGUGACACCUGCCCGGUGCCGGAAGGUUAAGAGGAGAUGUGAGAGCAUUGAAUUGAAGCCCCGGUAAACGGCGGCCGUAACUAUAACGGUCCUAAGGUAGCGAAAUUCCUUGUCAGGUAAGUUCUGACCCGCACGAAUGGUGUAACGAUCUGGGCACUGUCUCGACUACCCGCCCGGCGAAAUUGUAGUACCGGUGAAGAUGCCGGUUACCCGCGACUAGACGGAAAGACCCCAUGGAGCUUUACUGUAGCUUAAUAUUGGAUUUCGGCAUUUCAUGUACAGGAUAGGUGGGAGACUAGGAAACAUAGGCGUCAGCUUAUGCGGAGUCGUCCUUGGGAUACCACUCUUGGAGUGCUGAAAUUCUAACCUGCAGCCCUGAAUCGGGUUGGGGGACAUUGUUAGGUGGGCAGUUUGACUGGGGCGGUCGCCUCCAAAAAGGUAACGGAGGCGCUCAAAGGUUGGCUCAGCAUGGAUGGAAACCAUGCCAUAGAGUGCAAACGCAAAAGCCAGCCUGACUGCGAGACUGACGGGUCGAGCAGAAACGAAAGUUGGAGUUAGUGAUCCGGCGGUAUGUGAAUGGAAAUGCCGUCGCUCAACGGAUAAAAGCUACCCUGGGGAUAACAGGCUGAUCUCCCCCAAGAGU